UGAACGCUGGCGGCGUGCUUAACACAUGCAAGUCGUACGAGAACACUCUAGCUUGCUAGGGUAAGUAAAGUGGCGCACGGGUGAGUAACGCGUGGGUAAUCUACCUUCGAAUUGGGGAUAACGUUGCGAAAGCGACGCUAAUACCGAAUAACAUCCAUUUAUCCUCGGAUUUUUGGAUCAAGGGUGGCCUCUACAUGUAAGCUACUGUUUGAAGAUGAGCCCGCGUACCAUUAGCUUGUUGGUGGGGUAAAGGCCUACCAAGGCUUCGAUGGUUAGCUGGUCUGAGAGGAUGAUCAGCCACACUGGAACUGACACACGGUCCAGACUCCUACGGGAGGCAGCAGUGAGGAAUUUUGCGCAAUGGGGGAAACCCUGACGCAGCAACGCCGCGUGAGUGAUGAAGGCUUUCGGGUCGUAAAGCUCUGUCAAGUGGGAAGAACCUGCAGUAUGUUAAUAUCAUAUUGCACUGACGGUACCACUGAAGGAAGCACCGGCUAACUCC
rnacentral:rRNA from 1 species